AAAUUCUCGUAGUCGAAGCUGAAAGGUUGAUCGACCACAUUGGGUCUGAAAAAACCCCAAUGCAAGUUAGUACAGCAGUGAGGAAUCUUGGUCAAUGGCCUAACGGCUGAACUGGCAACUUGGAGAAGUGGCAAGUCUUAUUUUUGAUUAUAAUUUUAGAUAAUCUAUAAGAUUGUAUUAAAAUUGAAUAAAGCUUUGUUUAUAUAUUGAUAAUGACAAUAUAUAUAUCGUGUCUUGACUAAUUACGUGCCAGCAGUCGCGGUAAUACGUAAGAGACUAGUGUUAUUCAUCUUAAUUAGGUUUAAAGGGUACCUAGACGGUCAAUAUAGCUUCUAGAAUGUUAGUACUUGACUAGAGUUUGAUGUAAGGGGGCAGUACUUGAGGAGGAGAGAUGAAAUUCUAUUAUACCAAAGGGACUCGGUAAAGGCGAAGGCAGCCCUUUAUGUAAAAACUGACGUUGAAGGACGAAGGCACAGAGCACAAACAGGAUUAGAUACCCAAGUAGUCUUUGCAGUAAAUGAUGAAUGCCAUAGGUUUAGAUUA
rnacentral:rRNA from 1 species